UGAUUGCUUCAUAAUCAGUAAGGCCUGCUCAAUGAAUUUUAAAUAGCCGCGAUUUACGUGCUAAGGUAGCAUAAUAAAUUGCCUUUUAAUUGAAGGCUAGAAUGAAAGGCUCCACAAAUAAAAUUCUUUAUUGACUAUAUUUCUUAAAAUUAAUCUAUAAAUAAAAAAGUUUAUAUAAAAAAAGGGGACGACAAGACCCUAUCGAGCUUAACUCUUAGUUUCACUGGGGAGGUGAAGAAAAAAAUUCUUUUUAUUUUCUAAAAAAGAAUAAUUCAGAAAGAACCUUGAACUAGUUACCGUAGGGAUAACAGCACAAUUAAUUUUAGGAGACCUUAUCUUAAAACUAGAUUAUGACCUCGAUGUUGAAUUAAAGUACCUUUAGGAGAAGAAGCUUUAUAGGAAAGUCUGUUCGACUUUUAAAACUUU
rnacentral:rRNA from 1 species